UUGGGGAGGGUCAGUCUCUCUUCUCACCCUGAGAUGGAGGUUUCUGGACAAAAAGUCUCAUUCACCUGGAAGACCAUGAAAUUGUUCUGGUUUCUGUUCUGCUUGGUGGCAGGUGUCUUGUCUGACCUGCAACUGGAGGAGUCAGGACCAGGAAUUGCAAAGCCCUCAGAGUCCCUGACACUAACCUGUUUUGUCACUGGUGGCUCUGUUACUAGCAGUUACUAUUGGCACUGGAUCCGACAGUCUCCAGGGAAAGGGCUAGUGUGGAUUGGAUAUUGGAGUGGGAGUACACAAUACAAUCCUGAUUUCCAAAACAGAAUCUCUAUCACAGCAGACACAUCUAAGAAUCAGUUGUAUCUGCAGCUAAAAUCACUCACAGCUGAGGACACAGCUGUAUAUUACUGUGCAAGAGGCACAAUGAGAAGAAAGCAGUAUGAAGUCCAUACACAAACUUUCUUCUACAAAGAAGCCAGAAGAUCAGGCUGUAUAUGGUGUUCAACUACUCAGCACAAGGAGUCCAGUCCCAGGAGAGUAAAGAUGAAGUAUUCAUUUCAAGGUCUAUUGUUUUCCUUCUGUGCUCAGCAAUUUUUUUUUUUUCCCUAGGAGCCUUCCCAUCCUUUUCAUCCUUGUGAUGGCCAUUUUUUUAAGAGCUGCAGAUAAUGAUAGAUGAGAAAGUUUGUAAUUGCUUAUUGAAAGUCAAUUGGGAAGUGAAUCUCUAUGGAAUUUGUUUUUAAAUAAAAUCUUUGACAGAUUCCCAUUUCCUGAGAUCCCAGUAGAACACUUCUAAAGAUUGUCUACCUCUCUGGUUCUCUGUAUGAAUUACAGAAAGGAAAGCUAUCUCAGCUAGUUUGUCUUCAGUUCUCAAAAACCUCAGUAUUUUAAGUACCCAUAA